UACGGAGGGUGCGAGCGUUGUCCGGAAUCACUGGGCGUAAAGGGCGCGUAGGCGGUCUGCUAAGCGUGCGGUGAAAGCCCGGGGCUCAACCCCGGGUCUGCCGUGCGAACUGGUGGACUAGAGCACUGUAGAGGCAGGUGGAAUUCCGGGUGUAGCGGUGGAAUGCGUAGAGAUCCGGAAGAACACCGGUGGCGAAGGCGGCCUGCUGGGCAGUAGCUGACGCUGAGGCGCGACAGCGUGGGGAGCAAACAGG
rnacentral:rRNA from 1 species